rnacentral:rRNA from 1 species
CAGUCGCCGCGGGAAUACGAAGGGGGCUAGCGUUGUUCGGAAUCACUGGGCGUAAAGGGUGCGUAGGCGGAUUCUUAAGUCAGGGGUGAAAUCCCGAGGCUCAACCUCGGAACUGCCUUUGAUACUGGGGAUCUUGAGUCCGGAAGAGGUGAGUGGAACUGCGAGUGUAGAGGUGAAAUUCGUAGAUAUUCGCAAGAACACCGGUGGCGAAGGCGGCUCACUGGUCCGGAACUGACGCUGAGGCACGACAGCGUGAGGAGCGAACAGGAUUAGAUACCCCUGUAGUCCCUGUCUCUUAUAC